rnacentral:siRNA from 1 species
AUCCCAGAGAUUGAAGAUGUGCCC